AUGGCAAAUUCACGCAUUGCAAGGUUUUUCAUGGAGGUGGCACCACCACAAUAUGUUAAUGUUAUGAGGCAUAGAACAUCAAAAAUGAUGGAAACAAUUAGUGAAGAUGAUAGGGAAAUUAACUCAUCAAAUGAUAGUGUAAUUUCAUCAACAACUUCAGCUUCAUCACUUGUUGCAUCUUCAUGUGCCUCUUCUACAAAUGCAAUUGUUAAUUCUAGAUACUUCUUGAAGGAAGUUCAUAGAAGCCUCUCCAGUUUGAAUCACUGA